UGGGGCUUGAACCCACAAACCAUGAGAUCAUGACCUGGCCCAAAGUCAGACGCUUAAUCAACUGAGCCACCCAGGUGCCCCAUUAAUAAUUAUUUUAUCAAUUCUCUUUCUAGUCCUGAAUCUGCCCUAACUUACUGUAGGAUCCCUGGUAGAUCAUUUCUUGUAAUAGCCAGCUAUCACUUCUCCCCAGUAUUUCUUCUGGAAAAGCAAUCUCUUCUUUUGUAGUAAUACUGCUCCUUCAUCCAAACCAGGUGAUUAGUAAAGACUGUCAGUAAAGGGGGCAUGUGAUCAAGCAAGGCCAAGCAGAAUUCUUCCCUAGGAUUUAAAAAGAAAUAAUUGGAGCUAUUUUAUUCCAAAUAUUCCAAUAUUUUUUUUCUGACAAAUAUUAUGAAGAUGUUUGCUCUAAAACUAUAAUGACCGAUCCUUAACCCAUGUGUAGAGUGCUGGUCUGUGGCAGGAGAAAAUGAGGCCAUCAUGCAGACAGAACCAUAGGCAUGAGAUGAGAAAGUGUGUCCUGGGGCCUUCCCAGCUGUGCUUCUGGCUUCUUGAGGUUUGGCAGGUCACAUCUUCCUUUGAUUCUAUUAGACAAUUCAGUAUGUGUUUCUAAUAAAGCCCCCAUUUAGUUUUGCUCAUUGGAGUUAGGUUCUUAACAACCAAAAAUACAUUGUCCUCUCUUUGGUUCUCAGUUUUCUCCUUUAUGCAUACUUCUAGCUCCAAGUGCAAUAAUUCUAAUUUUUAAACACUGAGUCUUUCAGAAAAAUCGCACUUCUGUGGGCUUUCUGAUGAAGACUUUGUAUAAUCUCAAACUAAAACCUACUUUCUGCCCCAUUUUCUCUUCAUGUAUCUGAAUGUAAGAGGAAGAGGGAUUUCUCAUGGUGAGAAGUAGUUCUCCACAAACACUGAUGACAGCACAAAGUUUCCUAUGGUUAGGUCACUGUCCACGCAGAGUCUGGCUUCCCAGGGGCAGAAGCUAGACAAAACAGUGAAUGCUGCUGCUGCUUUUUCUCCACAUCUGUUCCUAUGUCUGCCAACUCAGUGACACCUACCAUCUUGACAGAAUACCAUUGACUGGACUGAGUUGUGUGAUAUGUUUUGUCUGCUUCCUUCUAUCAUUUUGAAGUGGCCAAAUAGCAAAUACCCAAAUAGGAAAUCUCUGGGAGACUUGAGUAAGAGUUUCUUUUGCUUGGUACAAAAUCAUGCCAUAGAAAUACUAAUGUCUGGCAAAGUAAAUGUCAGCAAGUCCCUGAGGCGUGUGAUUAGGAUUCCCAGCUCCCUUCAGAUUCUGAUGCAUCUCUUCCUGGUUUUUGCCAAUGGACCGGGAUAAAGCCAGUAGGCUGCGCAACCUUGAUUAAGUCACUCUCUAUUUCCAGGCUUCAUGAGUUUGGAUCAGAUGAUUUCUGUAGGCCCUCUUGGUGCUCUAAUGCUCUGUGAUUUUAGGCACAUUUUCUGUCAGAACUGCAAGUGGCAAACAGGAUUUUGGUGGGAAUCCUUUCAUUAUGAAAGCCUUCUUUCUUCUUGGGUACAAUGAAAACAGCCAAGGCUGUGUGACCACCGCUCCACCCCCCGCCCCCCCGCCACCACUCAGCUAGGCUUGUGGCUUUGGCUUCUGAAGCUUCCAGAAAGCAUCUUAGCUAUUAAAUACAUCUGGAUGGUCCAUGCCUACCUGUCCGAGGCUAGGGGUUCCUAAAGUCUAACAAGAGGAAGAGGAACAACAAGAAUCUCUGAUGAAAUUUGUUGAGAAUGGAGUGCAGACAUAUGUGUUUGAGAAGUGAUACCAGCCAGCCAAA